UCUGCAGCACGGCUGCGCUGGCUGCAGAAUCCUUCCUCGUUAGUCUGGUGUUUGCUGCGCCGCGGUGCGCAUGUCAGAUUUCGGCAUUAAAGCCUUCAUCCGGGUUACCGCUGUUCCUGUCGAGGAUACGAAUGGUGCCCAGACGGCCCAGCGUUAUAAAAUGUACAUGCUAUCCUUGAAAAAUUUGUUAGACUUAUCAGUAUAUGAAGCCGAUUCUGCACCAGAACCAGGUUCAGUAAAUUUUCGUAAAAUUUACCAUGGCCCUGUCCUUUCCAAAGUGCAUUUUAAAAGUACUAGUAAAAAAAUUUCAAAAAUUUGUACUACGUAGUUAGUGCAGGUCGUCGGUUACCGUCACGACUUCAAACAGUCAGGCGACAAUGUGACUCCUGCUGGUCCUGAUUUUUUCUAGCACUGCAUGAAAUGAGAAAUCGGUUAAGCGUUCAGUCGCGCAGCGUCCGCUUUUUUUGUGGUAGGUUGUGGCAAACCGCUGUCUUUGGGACUUUGGUGAAGGCGGGUUCUCCAUGGAGGUGGAGAUGCUGGCCCAGACAUGUGUCGGCGCUGCCGCCACCGUUGACCGCAUCGUCUGGCGCAACUGUCGCUUUCGCGGUAUUGGCGGCAAACAUAGCGAGUGCACUAUGGUGCAUGACGUCACAGCGAUCCACGGGACGCUGUUGGAGAUGCAGACGGAGUUGUAUGCGCUGGUCGAGCGGAAUUUGUCGUGGAAGAAACACUGGAUCCCGCUGAGUGGCUCCGGCUUGAUGCAGUGGAUUGCCAACGAAGCGCGAACCGACGAAAUAUCUUUCACUAGCGCCAAAGUUAAACAGAUUUUGAAAACCUAUCAAGCCAACGAUCCCCGUGUAACGAAUCGCUACCGUUGGAAGUUUAACUGGGCCGCCGAAGAGCUGUUUGAUUUAGAAAUGACUUCGCUGUCCACUCUGACGUUGUGGGUACUUACCUUGGCCAUGCUGUACCGAUUCCAGCGGAAUGAGUGACCGUUUCAACUGCGUUUGAUGCUUGAUAAGCGACAGAGUGAAGCAAGCUAAGAUUUUGUUGCAACUACAUAUAUAAAAGCUUUGAAUAUAGCAAGUUGACUUCUUAAUCAACUGCAUCCAGUUCGCGCUUUGAUAAGACUGUGCAAUUGACUACUAAAUAAGGUUAUUAAUGUAAUCCAUUAAUGGCUAAUUAACCAAAAAAAUUAGGGUAGCGCAUUUAAUACAGCCUUUUGUUAAGGCUGUAUUAAAUGCCAGACGUUUAAUUGUAAAACCAUCACUUCAACAAAUUUCAAAAAACAAUUGCAAAAUAUUUAAAUGUUGGAAGAAUUAACAAUCAUUCGCAUAUCGGAUUUGGAAGUAGAAGAGAAACUGGUGCUGAAACAGCAGCAUUUAAAUAAGAAGCAAAAGCAAAAAUAUUUCCUAUAAGUUUUCGUGAUCCGGUAGUGUGCCCACUGCCCAUCCCGCACACAGCGCUUCCUCUUUGUAUCUGAAUGGAAAUCCUCUGCCGGCAAAAUUCUUUCGCGUGGCGUUGUGUCAUCCUGUGGCGACUGCGAUAUGGUGUCCUGCUUUAUCAACUGCAGGUUCUUGGCUCCGCCUCUUCAAGUCUUUCUCGUUUCGGAAGCCGGUAACGCGUGGAUCCGGUAUCCAGAUUCGGGUGUCGACAUGGCUUUUAAAUGCGCGACUUCGACGUCAAUGACAGCGAACAGCAGAAAGGUUUGAGAGGGCGCGUAAGGU